rnacentral:rRNA from 1 species
AUUGAACGCUGGCGGCAUGCCUUACACAUGCAAGUCGAACGGUAACAGGUCUUCGGAUGCUGACGAGUGGCGAACGGGUGAGUAAUACAUCGGAACGCGCCUAGUAGUGGGGGAUAACUACUCGAAAGAGUGGCUAAUACCGCAUGAGAUCUACGGAUGAAAGCAGGGGAUCGCAAGACCUUGUGCUACUAGAGCGGCCGAUGGCAGAUUAGGUAGUUGGUGGGAUAAAAGCUUACCAAGCCGACGAUCUGUAGCUGGUCUGAGAGGACGAUCGGCCACACUGGGACUGAGACACGGCCCAGACUCCUACGGGAGGCAGCAGUAGGGAAUUUUGGACAAUGGGCGCAAGCCUGAUCCAGCAAUGCCGCGUGCAGGAUGAAGGCCUUCGGGUUGUAAACUGCUUUUGUACGGAACGAAAAGCCCUGGGUUAAUACCCUGGGGUCAUGACGGUACCGUAAGAAUAAGCACCGGCUAACUACGUGCCAGCAGCCGCCGCCGUAA